AUACGUAGGGGGCGAGCGUUGUCCGGAAUGACUGGGCGUAAGGGCGUGUAGGCGGCGGUGUAAGUCUGGAGUGAAAGUCCCGCAUUCAAUGUGGGAAUUGCUUUGGAUACUGCAGUGCUAGAGUGCGGAAGAGGUAAGUGGAAUUCCCAGUGUAGCGGUGAAAUGCGUAGAGAUUGGGAGGAACACCAGUGGCGAAGGCGGCCUGCUGGACGACAACUGACGCUGAGGCGCGAAAGCGUGGGGAGCAAACAGGAUUAGAUACCCUGGUAGUCCACGCUGUAAACGAUGAAUACUAGGUGUGGGGGGACUGACCCCCUCCGUGCCGCAGUUAACACAAUAAGUAAUCCACCUGGGGAGCACGUUCGCAAGAAUGAAACUCAAAGGAAUUGACGGGG
rnacentral:rRNA from 1 species